GCCGGGGUGGCUCAGCCGGUUAGAUGGCGCCUGGGCUAGAGAUCCGGAGGUCGCGGGUUCGAAACCCGCCCCCGGCACCA
rnacentral:tRNA from 1 species